AACUGCUAGUCACUUUAAAUUAUUCUGCAUUUCAAACAGGAAAUCAUCCAAUUAGACUAACAGCUGCAGAGAUUGGAAUAAGCCUUGCAUAUUACAAAAUUAAAGAAAAUGCAGCUGAGUACUAUGGAAAGGAGUUAAGAUGCCUACAGAUACUCUACAGCAGCUUUUGGCAGUGUACAUCCCAUGUCCAUGAAGAGACAGGACUCAUUUCUGAAGAGGCUGUUCCUGCAGGAAUGUCAGGUUUGUCUCCUAGUUUGAACUGAUGCACCUCUGCAAACAGGAGAGCAUCAGUGCUCUUACCAAAAACAUUUUUGUUCUGAGAGGUAAAAGGCAGUGGAAGGCUGCAAUUAGUUCCCCUGAACAGACUUGCUAGCCCCUGUUAGCACUACUUGUCUGCAGCAAGCAUGGACAAGAGCACAGAAGAGGCUAUAACUCAGUGGUUCUUUCUACCUGGGACCAUUUACAGUGGAAGCUUUGAGUCAGAGUUGCAGGGCAAUUCAGUGAUGAACUCUGGGAUGAAAUUCAGCCACUUCUUUCCCAUUUGGAUGCUCUGAGCAGUUUCUCCUAACAAACUGCUUUAAUUUGUAAGCAGAGACAAAACAGAAGCAAAUAGCCAGUCUUUGUGGCUGCCUGAAUUCAGAGAUAUAUAUAAAAAAUCCUACUAGGAAAACCAGCAUUUACUAUUGCAAAGGAAUAAGAUAUACUCUUCAGCAUACAAAGGAUAUUUUGCUUCCAGCCUUGUUCAAGUCCUGCAUUGAAAGGCACCCAUCCAUCCUACUGUAAAAUUGAAUACAUUAUUUAUUAUUACUGUGAUGAAACUGUGGGAUCUUUAAUUUAAUCAGAAUUACUAGAUGGCAGAUAUCUGACUACUUAAUGACCUUGUAUUUACUAAGAAAAAAACUCUGUUGCAUAAAUGACAGAGAUGUAAUGGCAAGAAUUCAUUGUGGAUAACAGAGCUAUAGAAGAGCUUACCAUAUAAUGUAUGACUCAGAUUUCACUGCUUUUUGGCAUUCAACAGUAACAUUGCUAAAAUAUCACUUAAAUAAAUGUCAGCAGUUAAUCACAAUGGAUGUAAUGUUAUUAAGGGAGGGGGAAAUCACCCUUUUCUGUAUGUUUUCCUCCAAGCCUGCACAGGAAAUAAGGAACAGAAAAGAUGUCAGUUAAAUUGUGUUUAUCUGUUCCAUCUAACUCAAAAGUAGAGAGAUAUUAGUCAAUAAUAAAGCAUAAUGGAGAAGAAGAAGGAGGAGGAGAAGAAGAAGAAGAAGAAGAAGAAGAAGAAGAAGAAGAAGAAGAAGAAGAAGAAGAAGAAGAAGGAGAAGGAGAAGAAGAAGAGGAGGAGGAGGAAGAUCAAGAAGAAGAAGGAGGAUGAGUGGAAAUGAAUUUGCAAUCAGAGUACCUUACUUCUCCAGCCUCCCUUGACUCCCUUAAGUAGUUUACCUGGUGGCGUUAUAAUAAUCAGUUAUAUUAAUUUAUUUUAAAUAUAAAAUAUUCAUAAAUUUUCUAUUUUAGGAGCAGAUGACCUCCAAAAUAUUGGCUGUGCCAAACCUUACAAAUUCUGAAAAUCUCUUUAUGUCUAAUAAAGACUAUGCAACAUCAAAUCUGGAAAAUCAGAGCUUUACUGAUUAAUCCUCUAUUUUCUUUUGAGAGGAACAAAAGUCCCAUGUUCAUUUAUGCUUGUACAGGUCUUCCCCUUGAAGAACAAAGCACAUUAAAAUUCAGUGCUGUAAUGCUUCUUGUGCUCUAAGUAAAUGUCCUUAAACAUCCUGAGUGAUGGGGAACAAUGGGGUUUCAAAAGAUGUUCAGAGGUGCCAUGGAAAUCUAUGGGGAAUCCAGGGAGGAAAUUCAGAUCUACCCACAUUAUAUUUUGCUUGAAAGACAUAAUUUAUGUCCAUUCAUACUUUCCUGCUCAUCUAGUUUGCUCUUCCCUUCAGAAGCCACAAACAAAGAGUAAAAAUUGAGGCAGUCCUGCUGUCUAAUCUCUCAACCAUCCUUCAGUAACUGACCAUGAAUGUCAACAGUUAAAGAAGCCUGUUCCAGGAGCAAUUAUUCAUAAAUCCCAUUAUCCUGAACAGAAAUCUGACAUAGAGAAAUAAAAAAAAAAAAAAAAAAUCUAGCUACUGAGUUUAGCACUAGCCCAGACAAGAAAGCUGCCCAGUACUUCCAGACAAGAAAGCUGUCCAGUAUUUCCAGUUUUAAAGACAGUUUGUGGUACAGACAAUACUUUUAAAUACAGUUUUGUGUGAAAAAAUUAUGCUUGUAUUUUAUAUGAGAAAAAGGAUGAAGGAACCAAGGAGGAAGGAUAAACUGUGAGACCCAAACAAGGGAAUGAAGGAAAUUUUAGGGGGGAAGGUGUAAGCAAUAUGCAAAGUUCAGGUUUUAUACUUGAUACUGAGAAAAUAAACAUCAGUAAAGAAAGGGACAGUUGUUUGGGGAACACAUAGUAUUUCUUUUUCGGUACAAAAUCCAAAAAUUUGACCUCAUCAGCAAUUAUCAAAGGUACCAAAUUCAAAGCUGGAAGAUAUAGAAACAUUUUUUCUUUCCAACCCCAAACCAAAAUUCAUUGAAGUGAGUCCCUGCAAGCUGCUUCAUCUGUGGGCAAAUGUUACUUUUUUAAUAGUAACACCUUCAGACAGAAAAAGAACAGAUUUAUAAACCAUGCAAUAUAUGGGUAGUAUCCUACAGAAAUAACUGAAGGACCAAAUAUGUUUUCUUUAUAUCAUCUGGAGUGUUUUUAUUUACAAAUGCUUUUUGUUCAGUGUUGUUACAAUAGAUUCUCUUAUACCACUGGUUCUUGGGCAUUCAAUCAGCUGCACUCUGUAUGCUUUGAGCUUACUAUCUUUCAAUCUUGCAACCUGUUGAAAACAUAUUUAAGAUCUAUAUUUUAUUGUCUCAGAGAAAGAUUGCCAGUACUCAUUUGAAACCAUCUCUGAGAACAUUAUCAAGUACUGCUUUUCUUGAUACUGUGGGACGUAUCUCUAGGUGUCAAUCUGGCCCUGUCUGCUGCCUGUUGAUAAGCCAGAUACCACAUACACCUUGUCACUAUGCCAGUAUUUGCCACAAGCAAACUGAAGCUCAUCUUCUGGCUCUUACAGAUUGCAGUGUGAAGUGCAGAGCAGAGAUAAUAGUGGAAGGCAUUCUACAAAGUGUUUAGGUCAUUGAGUCUGAAUAAAUAUUAGCUCAGGCCCAUUGGAAUUUCAUUUAAUGUUUUUAUAAUUUCUUUCAUUUCUUUUGGGAUUUCAGAUGUUCAUAAACACGUGAAAUAUGAAAUGUCAACUGAAAAUAAAACUUACAUUCUUACAGGUUACAGACACAGAAAUAUAUGACAAACUGGAAAUACAAGCAAGUAUUUAAGGGUGUAAAUUAUCAGGUUUUAUCAAUUUAUUUAAAGCACCAUACUUGACAUUACAGCUAUGCUGAUACAGAAUGAUAUCUUGAACAACUUUGCCCUCUUUUGCUCUCCUAUGGAGAACAGUAUUUUCCAGCAGAAGGUCAGGAAGGAAAAUGCAUCCUUUAGCUUCCAUCUGGUUUUCAAUAAAGUGGAAAUGGCAUCUGUCCUAAAUAUGAAGUAUAUUCCAAAAGAUAUUCUUAACAAAGUAAAAGGCUGA